AGAGUUUGAUCCUGGCUCAGGAUGAACGUUGGCGGCAUGCUUAACACAUGCAAGUCGAACGCACCGCAAGGUGAGUGGCAGACGGGUGAGUAACACGUGGGAACGUGCCUUUCAGUUCGGGAUAACCCAGGGAAACUUGGGCUAAUACCGGAUACGCCCUUUAUUGGGGAAAGAUUUAUCGCUGAGAGAUCGGCCCGCGUCUGAUUAGCUAGUUGGUGGGGUAAUGGCUCACCAAGGCGACGAUCAGUAGCUGGUCUGAGAGGAUGAUCAGCCACACUGGGACUGAGACACGGCCCAGACUCCUACGGGAGGCAGCAGUGGGGAAUAUUGGACAAUGGGCGCAAGCCUGAUCCAGCCAUGCCGCGUGAGUGAUGAAGGCCCUAGGGUUGUAAAGCUCUUUCGCACGCGACGAUAAUGACGGUAGCGUGAGAAGAAGCCCCGGCUAACUUCGUGCCAGCAGCCGCGGUAAUACGAAGGGGGCUAGCGUUGUUCGGAAUCACUGGGCGUAAAGGGCGCGUAGGCGGCUUGAUAAGCCGGGGGUGAAAGCCUGUGGCUCAACCACAGAAUUGCCUUCGAUACUGUCGGGCUUGAGACCGGAAGAGGUAAGUGGAACUGCGAGUGUAGAGGUGAAAUUCGUAGAUAUUCGCAAGAACACCAGUGGCGAAGGCGGCUUACUGGUCCGGUUCUGACGCUGAGGCGCGAAAGCGUGGGGAGCAAACAGGAUUAGAUACCCCUGUAGUCC
rnacentral:rRNA from 2 species